GCGGCUGUGGCGGAACUGGUAGACGCGCAAGGUUGAGGGCCUUGUGGACAGCAAUGUCCGUGGAGGUUCGACUCCUCUCAGCCGCA
rnacentral:tRNA from 1 species